CUCUCGGGGCAGGUGCACGCCCGAGCCAUCCCCCCCACCAAACCCCGGGGGCCUCCGGCCCCCCGUUUUUUUCCCCUGAUGGUGUUUAAAAGGUAACCCUUUGGUUUGCCCUGAAAAACCAAACAAAAAAAAAUCCACCUUUCACCACCGGACCUCUGGCUUCUCCCUCCAUUAAAAACCCCACCGAAUUGCAAUAAUUAAGUUGAUUUGCAAAUUUCCAUGGAUCCUCCAAUCCUUUGACCCCCCCUUGCCCCCCUUGGUUUCCCAAGGGGCUUGCCGGUUUGAUUGUCUUUAAUCCCCCACCCCCCCCAAUGGUUUUCGGGGGGGCUGGAACUUUGAACCGGGCUGCCAAAGGCCGCCCCCCCUUUAAUUGCUUCACCGAAAAAACCCUUGGCCUUCCCGGCCUCCGGGGUGAUAUUUGGGUGGCCCCCCGUGGAACCUCCACCAAUCCGCUUCCACCGGCCUCCGAACAAACCCCCAGGCCUCCUGGCCCUCAAUUCAGGUAGGACUCCCCG
rnacentral:misc_RNA from 1 species